rnacentral:rRNA from 1 species
CCUGCCCAAUGAGGAAUUAAAUGGCCGCAGUAUUUUGACUGUGCAAAGGUAGCAUAAUUAUUAGUUUUUUAAUUGAAAGCUUGUAUGAAGGGUUGGACGAGAUAAAAUCUGUCUUUAUUUAAAUUACAAUAGAAUUUAACUUUUAAGUCAAAAGGCUUAAAUGUAUAUAAAAGACGAGAAGACCCUAUAGAUCUUUAUUUAAUUAAUAUUUUGAUAAUUUAAGAUUAUUUUAGUUUAAAGUUUUAAUUAAAUUUUAUUGGGGUAAUAUAGAGAUUAAAUAAAUUCUUUUUAUUUAUUACAUUGAUUUAUGAAUAUAUGAUCCAAUAUUAUUGAUUAUAAGAUUAAGUUACCUUAGGGAUAACAGCGUAAUUUUUUUGGAGAGCUCAUAUCGAUAAAAAAGUUUGCGACCUCGAUGUUGGAUUAAAAAUUAGCUUGGGUGCAGAAGCUCAAGAUUUUGGUCUGUUCGACCAUUAAAUUUUUACAUGAUCUGAGUUCAGACCGGCGUAAGCCAGGUCGGUUUCUAUCUUUAUUUAUCUAAAAUAUUUUAGUACGAAAGGACCAAAUAUUUAAUAUAAUUAUAUUUCUUUUUUGAAUAAUAUU